rnacentral:tRNA from 1 species
GCUCGCGUGGCGGAAUUGGCAGACGCGUACGGCUCAGGACCGUAUGGGGAAACCCGUGGAGGUUCGAGUCCUCUCGUGAGCACCA